rnacentral:rRNA from 1 species
AAGGAAUCUUCCACAAUGGGCGAAAGCCUGAUGGAGCAACGCCGCGUGCAGGAUGAAGGCCCUCGGGUCGUAAACUGCUUUUAUGAGUGAAGAAUAUGACGGUAACUCAUGAAUAAGCACCGGCUAACUACGUGCCAGCAGCCGCGGUCAUACGUAGGGUGCAAGCAUUAUCCGGAGUGACUGGGCGUAAAGAGUUGCGUAGGCGGUUAGUAAAGCGAAUAGUGAAACCUGGUGGCCCAACCAUACAGACUAUUAUUCGAACUCACUAACUCGAGAGUGGUAGAGGUAACUGGAAUUUCUUGUGUAGGAGUGAAAUCCGUAGAUAUAAGAAGGAACACCAAUGGCGUAGGCAGGUUACUGGACCAUUUCUGACGCUAAGGCACGAAGGCGUGGGGAGCGAACC